UAUACUCUAGUAUUCAACGUACUGAAGUUUUUGAUACUUUAAGAAACAAUUAAAUUUUGUUGGGUAUAA
rnacentral:tRNA from 1 species